GUGGGGAAUAUUGGACAAUGGGCGAAAGCCUGAUCCAGCCAUGCCGCGUGUGUGAAGAAGGUCUUCGGAUUGUAAAGCACUUUAAGUUGGGAGGAAGGGCAGUAAGUUAAUACCUUGCUGUUUUGACGUUACCGACAGAAUAAGCACCGGCUAACUUCGUGCCAGCAGCCGCGGUAAUACGAAGGGUGCAAGUGUUAAUCGGAAUUACUGGGCGUAAAGCGCGCGUAGGUGGUUUUGUAAGUUGGAGGUGAAAUCCCCGGGCUCAACCUGGGAACUGCCUCCAAAACUGCAUGACUAGAGUACGGUAGAGGGUAGUGGAAUUUCCUGUGUAGCGGUGAAAUGCGUAGAUAUAGGAAGGAACACCAGUGGCGAAGGCGACUACCUGGACUGAUACUGACACUGAGGUGCGAAAGCGUGGGGAGCAAACAGGAUUAGAAACCCUGGUAGUCC
rnacentral:rRNA from 1 species